rnacentral:rRNA from 1 species
AGAGUUUGAUCAUGGCUCAGGACGAACGCUGGCGGCGUGCUUAACACAUGCAAGUCGAACGGAGCACCCUUGACUGAGGUUUCGGCCAAAUGAUAGGAAUGCUUAGUGGCGGACUGGUGAGUAACGCGUGAGGAACCUGCCUUCCAGAGGGGGACAACAGUUGGAAACGACUGCUAAUACCGCAUGAUAUAUUUGAGGGGCAUCCCUUGGAUAUCAAAGAUUAUAUCGCUGGAAGAUGGCCUCGCGUCUGAUUAGCUAGAUGGUGGGGUAACGGCCCACCAUGGCGACGAUCAGUAGCCGG